UACGUAGGGUGCAAGCGUUAAUCGGAAUUACUGGGCGUAAAGCGUGCGCAGGCGGUUAUAUAAGACAGUUGUGAAAUCCCCGGGCUCAACCUGGGAACUGCAUCUGUGACUGUAUAGCUAGAGUACGGUAGAGGGGGAUGGAAUUCCGCGUGUAGCAGUGAAAUGCGUAGAUAUCGGAAGGAACACCAGUGGCGAAAGCGGCUUCCUGGUCCAGCACCGACGUCAGGCACGAAAGCGUGGGGAGCAAACAGG
rnacentral:rRNA from 1 species